rnacentral:lncRNA from 1 species
CUCUCAUCUCCCCUCAUCACUUGCAAACCAAAAAGGGAGAAGCCCAAACGUUUGGUUCUAAGCAACAUCACCACCAAGAUCGGGAAGAGAUACUCUUCAUCCUCUCUUCAACUGAGCUACUACAAGAGAAUUUUGAACUUCUGAUUCGGGGGAGGAGACGAUUUUGACAAACGUUAAGGCUGAGAAAACUCAACUUAGGACGCCUUGCCGGUUGCUGGUAUAACCUUUUCAAUUGAGGCAUAUGGAGCUUCUAACAUUGACAAAAUUCAUUUGGUCAAUUGCCCUAAUUUGGUCAUCCAUCUUGUUCAAGAAACUCCACUAGGUCAUGCUAACAUGUGCGUUUCUAUCUAUGAGGCACUUGAGGAGAAAGCAAAAGUGUCAUUUCCUGUGAAAGAUGAAUUGAAACAGUGAAGCAGGCUUUGGGGAGUUGAGUAGCAUGGCCUAAACACUUGGUCAUAAAAUCAUAUGUCAAUGUUGGAAUUAACUCAGUAUAAUUCAACCUAGAAACCUGCCGAGGAUAAUGUUGAGAAGAAGAAGAAAAGGAAAGAGAUAGGGGAGGAAAGGUAGCAGCCAAUACACCCAAGCAUAUACUGAUCAAGUGCCAAAUGAGUGGGAGAAGUUUGUUGUCAACACAUAUGUGCAUGAGCCAUAAAGUAGCGCGCUUGUUGCUGGUCUAUUUUUGCUAAGGAAAACAUUUUUUUUUAUGCUUCUCUGCUGGUACAUUGUCAUGCACCAUGUGUUGCCUGUUUUGGAAUAAAUGGAUAUAUAUAUAU